UGCCCCCUGCGGUGUUCGUCAGAUUCAUCGUUCUUAGAACCAAUAAGCUAUGCUUAAGCCGCGACCCUCAUUGUUACUGUUGUGCGCGUCCUUCGCGGAUGUACCUGAUGUAACCGGGAACUGGCUCUCUUGAACUCAGGUUCAAGAUAAUGAAUCAACGGCACAGGCGGGGGGCUC
rnacentral:other from 1 species